rnacentral:lncRNA from 1 species
AGUUUGAAGCCUGGCUGUGAUCUUGGGCAAGUUUUUUGUCUUUUGUGUCAUUCCUCAGUCAUCCCCUAUAAAAUGGGGAUACUCACUGUCCUGACUGCAUUGCGCACCAGGAAAUGGGCAGGAACUAACACACGUGGUGUGACAGCCCAGAGCCAGGCAUAGAGUAAGUGUGUGGCUAGUGCUGGUUCUCAGUCAGCCAUGUUUGGUUGUUGGCUGAGCAGAGAGGAGACCAGUGUGACAGAACCCAGGGGACAGUCUGGAUCACUAGGAGCUUGAGUGUUAGGGAGAGGCCAAGCCUUCAUCUCCUGCAAGAUAAAGCCCAAUCUCUACCCCACAAACACUGGUGAGUGACUCUUUGCCCAGCAAAGUUGCCAGAGAGACCAGAGAUGCCUGGAGCCCACGUCUGGCCUCUUGCCGAAGUGCUUCUCUCUGUGAGAUUACAUAUUCUGGGCCACAUCCCUUCCAUCCCCACUUCCUCCCUCACUUCACUCCUUUCCUUACUCCUCCAUCAUAAAAGUCUCCAGAAACAAGUGAAUGAGGCAAUAAAUUCUCUGUUUCUGACAGGCCGACAAGAGAGAUAAAUUCCGUAAUGGGAGCUGCGGCCCUGCUCUCCUGUCCUAGUGGAGCUUUGGCUGAUGGAAAGGAAGUCAUCUCCAGAGAUAAAGAGAGUGAGCCCAAGCCACAGAAAGAAAAGGAGAAUGAAGACCGGGCACUGUGGCUCACGCCUGUAAUCCCAGCACUUUGGGAGGCUGAGGCAGGCAGAUCACAAGUGAUUUUCCCUACUGGGCAGCAGAUGAUUUCUUCAAAGGUUGCCUGGAUCAGAGUCCUUAAGGGAAUUAAGAAGUUGGGGAGUAAUGACCACAUCAAGUGUCGGUGA